GAGAUUCUCCUGCCUCAGCCUCCCGAGUAGCUGGGAUUACAGUGUCCCACAAGCCUACGAGAGAGCGUGGUUCGCAGUAAGCACUGAACAUUUGUCGAGUGAAUGAAUGGACGAGCAGAGGACUUGACAAAAUCUCCAACUCAGAGAAGCGACAGCAGAGAACACACUCACCAGGUCAGCCAUCACAGCACAGGCCAGGCUGGAGUGCAAUGGCACAAUCUCAGCUCACUGCAACU